rnacentral:rRNA from 1 species
GACGAGGGAUCCUAGCGUUGUUCGGAAUCAUUGGGCGUAAAGCGGGUGUAGGCGGACUUAUAAGUCAGGUGUGAAAUCCCAGGGCUCAACCCUGGAAGUACACUUGAUACUGCAAGUCUUGAGUGUGGUAGAGGCUAUUAGAAUUACCUGGUGUAGUGGUGAAAUACGUAGAUAAUCAGGAGGAAUACCGGAGGCGAAGGC